GUGAGGAAUUUUCCGCAAUGGGCGAAAGCCUGACGGAGCAAUGCCGCGUGAAGGAUGAAGGCCUAUGGGUUGUAAACUUCUUUUCUCAGAACAGAAUUAUGACGGUAUCUGAGGAAUAAGCAUCGGCUAACUCUGUGCCAGCAGCCGCGGUAAGACAGAGGAUGCAAGCGUUAUCCGGAAUGAUUGGGCGUAAAGCGUCUGUAGGUUGUUUAAAAAGUAUUCUGUCAAAGAUUAGGGCUUAACCCUAGAUAGGCAGAAUAAACUUUUAAGCUAGAGUUUGGUAGAGGCAGAGGGAAUUCCCGGUGGAGCGGUGAGAUGCGUAGAUAUCGGGAGGAACACCAAAGGCGAAGGCACUCUGCUGGGCCAAUACUAACACUGAGAGACGAAAGCGAGGGGAGCAAAUGGGAUUAGAUACCCGGGUAGUCC
rnacentral:rRNA from 1 species